rnacentral:tRNA from 1 species
CGGUGUGCAGCACGCGGGUGGUGUCCGGGUACUCGAGCUGCACGCGGCGCAGCAGUUCGACGCCGUCCAUGCCGG